ACGAACGCUGGCGGCGUGCCUAAUACAUGCAAGUAGAACGCACAGUUUAUACCGUAGCUUGCUACACCAUAGACUGUGAGUUGCGAACGGGUGAGUAACGCGUAGGUAACCUGCCUGGUAGCGGGGGAUAACUAUUGGAAACGAUAGCUAAUACCGCAUAAUAUUGAUUAUUGCAUGAUAAUUGAUUGAAAGAUGCUAUUGCAUCACUACCAGAUGGACCUGCGUUGUAUUAGCUAGUAGGUGAGGUAACGGCUCACCUAGGCGACGAUACAUAGCCGACCUGAGAGGGUGAUCGGCCACACUGGGACUGAGACACGGCCCAGACUCCUACGGGAGGCAGCAGUAGGGAAUCUUCGGCAAUGGACGAAAGUCUGACCGAGCAACGCCGCGUGAGUGAAGAAGGUUUUCGGAUCGUAAAGCUCUGUUGUAAGAGAAGAACAGGUGUGAGAGUGGAAAGUUCACACUGUGACGGUAUCUUACCAGAAAGGGACGGCUAACUACGUG
rnacentral:rRNA from 1 species